rfam:Schistosoma rodhaini strain Burundi genome assembly, scaffold: SROB_scaffold0000900
AUCCAGCCGACGAGUCAUAAAUGAGACGAAACGCGCGUUCUGAAU